rnacentral:rRNA from 1 species
AUUGAACGCUGGCGGCAUGCUUUACGCAUGCAAGUCGAACGGUAACAGGUUAAGCUGACGAGUGGCGAACGGGUGAGUAAUGCAUCGGAACGUGCCCGAUCGUGGGGGAUAACGCAGCGAAAGCUGCGCUAAUACCGCAUACGAUCUGAGGAUGAAAGCGGGGGACCGUAAGGCCUCGCGCGAUCGGAGCGGCCGAUGUCAGAUUAGGUAGUUGGUGGGGUAAAGGCUCACCAAGCCAACGAUCUGUAGCUGGUCUGAGAGGACGACCAGCCACACUGGGACUGAGACACGGCCCAGACUCCUACGGGAGGCAGCAGUGGGGAAUUUUGGACAAUGGGCGAAAGCCUGAUCCAGCAAUGCCGCGUGCAGGAAGAAGGCCUUCGGGUUGUAAACUGCUUUUGUACGGAGCGAAAAAGCUCUCUCUAAUACAGGGGGCUCAUGACAGUACCGUAAGAAUAAGCACCGGCUAACUACGUGCCAGCCGCCGCAGUAAUAC